CACCACUACAGUUUCUAUACUCGCUGCCUGUCACGUGGAAUGAGCAAAAGCCGCUGGCUUUGGUAUUUUCGAAAAUUUACUUUCAGGUGUGCCGGUACAGCCUCCGACUUGCGUUCGGUGGCCCAGACCGUAGAAGCACAGACUGCACAGACAUGCGUGCGAGUCUCCGUGCGCACCUGGGACUUGAGCAGCGCCUGUAUGGAGUCCUUGAGUCGUUCUUACCGGUGAUCGCCUUCCACCCGUCGUCUUCGCCAUGUUCAAAGCCUACGAGUCUACGACUAUAGCAGAAGAACCCCUGGCGGGUGUCCAUCACUCGUCAUCAGCGGGGUGCCAGCCGUAUAUGUCCGGAAAGAGUACUCGCCCCUUCCAGAGGAAGGUACUAGAGAGGUACGUCGUGUUAGGGAUCACUCAAGCACGCAUGUCUUCAUGUGCCAACAGAACUGCAUACGCCCAUGCAAAUAUUAUUGAAGGGAGAUUUCCUCAUAUCCAUCAGCUAUGAAGGAUGCUAAUGCCUCCUGUUACGGAUGCUGUACGGCACGACUGCCGUAGGAACCAGCUGGUCCUUACGUAAGACGCACUCAUUAAGCAAGAGAUCGCUGGAGCCGACUAUCUGAACUUCAUAUAGAGCAACUGCAAACAGGCUUCGGAGGAUCAGUUUGCAUAGCACGUCCGCCUACCGAUCCCAAGGCUGCAACCCAACUGAGGAUGCCAGCACUUAGUGGCAGCGUACAAGAUGCUUGGGCCCAUCGUCUCCCGGAAGGACGGGUGCUGUGUGCCUUCCAGGUCUACAUUAUUCAGUAUAUACCAUCAUAUAACUGUCUAGCGACGUUAAUCCACCAAUUAUU